rnacentral:rRNA from 1 species
AUUCUAGAGUUUGAUCAUGGCUCAGUUUGAACGCUGGCGGCAGGCUUAACACAUGCAAGUCGAGCGGAGUGAUGGUGCUUGCACUAUCACUUAGCGGCGGACGGGUGAGUAAUGCUUAGGAAUCUGCCUAUUAGUGGGGGACAACAUUUCGAAAGGAAUGCUAAUACCGCAUACGUCCUACGGGAGAAAGCAGGGGAUCUUCGGACCUUGCGCUAAUAGAUGAGCCUAAGUCGGAUUAGCUAGUUGGUGGGGUAAAGGCCUACCAAGGCGACGAUCUGUAGCGGGUCUGAGAGGAUGAUCCGCCACACUGGGACUGAGACACGGCCCAGACUCCUACGGGAGGCAGCAGUGGGGAAUAUUGGACAAUGGGCGCAAGCCUGAUCCAGCCAUGCCGCGUGUGUGAAGAAGGCCUUAUGGUUGUAAAGCACUUUAAGCGAGGAGGAGGCUACUGAAGUUAAUACCUUCAGAUAGUGGACGUUACUCGCAGAAUAAGCACCGGCUAACUCUGUGCCAGCAGCCGCGGUAAUACAGAGGUUGCAAGCGUUAAUCGGAUUUACUGGGCGUAAAGCGCGCGUAGGCGGCUAAUUAAGUCAAAUGUGAAAUCCCUGAGCUUAACUUGGGAAUUGCAUUCGAUACUGGUUAGCUAGAGUGUGGGAGAGGAUGGUAGAAUUCCAGGUGUAGCGGUGAAAUGCGUAGAGAUCUGGAGGAAUACCGAUGGCGAAGGCAGCCAUCUGGCCUAACACUGACGCUGAGGUGCGAAAGCAUGGGGAGCAAACAGGAUUAGAUACCCUGGUAGUCCAUGCUGUAAACGAUGUCUACUAGCCGUUGGGGCCUUUGAGGCUUUAGUGGCGCAGCUAACGCGAUAAGUAGACCGCCUGGGGAGUACGGUCGCAAGACUAAAACUCAAAUGAAUUGACGGGGGCCCGCACAAGCGGUGGAGCAUGUGGUUUAAUUCGAUGCAACGCGAAGAACCUUACCUGGCCUUGACAUAGUAAGAACUUUCCAGAGAUGGAUUGGUGCCUUCGGGAACUUACAUACAGGUGCUGCAUGGCUGUCGUCAGCUCGUGUCGUGAGAUGUUGGGUUAAGUCCCGCAACGAGCGCAACCCUUUUCCUUAUUUGCCAGCGAGUAAUGUCGGGAACUUUAAGGAUACUGCCAGUGACAAACUGGAGGAAGGCGGGGACGACGUCAAGUCAUCAUGGCCCUUACGGCCAGGGCUACACACGUGCUACAAUGGUCGGUACAAAGGGUUGCUACCUAGCGAUAGGAUGCUAAUCUCAAAAAGCCGAUCGUAGUCCGGAUUGGAGUCUGCAACUCGACUCCAUGAAGUCGGAAUCGCUAGUAAUC